AAAAUCCGUUGUUUCACGAGACCGUGAGGGUUCAAGUCCCUCUAUCCCCA
rnacentral:tRNA from 1 species